rnacentral:rRNA from 1 species
GGUGAACGCUGGCGGUAGGCCUAACACAUGCAAGUCGAACGGCAGCACAGUAAGAGCUUGCUCCUACGGGUGGCGAGUGGCGGACGGGUGAGGAAUACAUCGGAAUCUACUUUUUCGUGGGGGAUAACGUAGGGAAACUUACGCUAAUACCGCAUACGACCUACGGGUGAAAGCAGGGGAUCUUCGGACCUUGCGCGAUUGAAUGAGCCGAUGUCGGAUUAGCUAGUUGGCGGGGUAAAGGCCCACCAAGGCGACGAUCCGUAGCUGGUCUGAGAGGAUGAUCAGCCACACUGGAACUGAGACACGGUCCAGACUCCUACGGGAGGCAGCAGUGGGGAAUAUUGGACAAUGGGCGCAAGCCUGAUCCAGCCAUACCGCGUGGGUGAAGAAGGCCUUCGGGUUGUAAAGCCCUUUUGUUGGGAAAGAAAAGCAGCAGGUUAAUACCCCGCUGUUCUGACGGUACCCAAAGAAUAAGCACCGGCUAACUUCGUG